AUACGUAGGGGGCGAGCGUUGUCCGGAAUGAUUGGGCGUAAAGGGCGCGUAGGCGGCCCGGUAAGUCUGGAGUGAAAGUCCUGUUUUUAAGAUGGGAAUUGCUUUGGAUACUGUCGGGCUUGCGUGCAGGCGAGGAAAGUGGAAUUCCCAGUGUAGCGGGGAACUGCGUAGAGAUUGGGAGGAAGACCAGUGGCGAAGGCGACUUACUGGACUGUAACUGACGCUGAGGCGCGAAAGUGUGGGGAGCAAACAGGAUUAGAUACCCUGGUAGUCCACACUGUAAACGAUGAAUGCUAGGUGUAGGGGGUAUCGACCCCUUCUGUGCCGCAGUCAACACAAUAAGCAUUCCGCCUGGGGAGUACGGCCGCAAGGUUGAAACUCAAAGGAAUUGGCGGGG
rnacentral:rRNA from 1 species